rnacentral:lncRNA from 1 species
UCAAAACUUUAUGUAAUUGCAUAAAAGCCCCAAAAGUACUCCCUUUGAGGGAGUGGCCGGUUUUGGGGAGAGGAUAAGAGUGAUGUGUGUGUUGAUUUGUGAGUUUUGUCAAAAUUAAUCAUGCAAGUGUAUGUGAAAGGAUAAGUUUUGAAAUAAUUCAAUCACAAUUAUUUCAAUCAUCAUUUAUACAAAUAUUUAACACUUUAAAUACAUGAUAAAUCAUUUAAAAACAAAUCACAUAAACUUUAUGAAAUAAUUCAAAACUUUGAAUCAAAACACCAAACCUUUUUGUUCUUGGCAAGAACAUCAAGAACAAUGA